rnacentral:rRNA from 1 species
UACGAACCGUACAAACGUUAUUCGGAAUCACUGGGCUUAAAGGGUGCGUAGGCGGCCAUGUAAGUGAGGUGUGAAAUCCCUCGGCUCAACCGAGGAACUGCGCUUCAUACUGCAUGGCUUGAGGGAGACAGGGGUAAGCGGAACUGAUGGUGGAGCGGUGAAAUGCGUUGAUAUCAAUCAGGAACGACCGGUGGCGAAAGCGGCUUACUGGGU